AGAGUUUGAUCCUGGCUCAGGACGAACGCUGGCGGUGCGCCUUAUGCAUGCAAGUUGAGCGAAGCUUUUCAGUAGUUUACUACAGAAAAUGACUGAGCGGCGAACGGGUGAGUAACGCGUGAGCAAUCUACCUUAGUUACUGGGAUAGCCCGAGGAAACUCGGAUUAAUACCGGAUAUUCUUAUUUUUUCACAUGAAGUUUUAAGGAAAGGUCAGCCGAACUAAGAUGAGCUCGCGUUCUAUCAGCUAGUUGGUGGGGUAAAAGCCUACCAAGGCUACGACGGAUAGCUGGUCUGAGAGGACGAUCAGCCACACUGGGACUGAGACACGGCCCAGACUCCUACGGGAGGCUGCAGCAGGGAAUAUUGCGCAAUGAGCGAAAGCUUGACGCAGCGACACCGCGUGUGGGAUGACGGUUCUAGGAUUGUAAACCACUUUCAGGAGGGAAGAAAAUGACGGUACCUCCACAAGAAGACCCGGCCAACUACGUGCCAGCAGCCGCGGUAAUACGUAGGGGUCAAGCGUUGUCCGGAUUUAUUGGGCGUAAAGAGCUCGUAGGCGGUUCAACAAGUCGGUCGUAAAAGUUUAGGGCUCAACCCUAAAAUGUCGAUCGAUACUGUUGUGACUAGGAUACGGUAGAGGUGAAUGGAAUUCCGAGUGUAGCGGUGAAAUGCGUAGAUAUUCGGAGGAACACCAAUUGCGAAGGCAGCUCACUGGGCCGCUAUCGACGCUGAGGAGCGAAAGCUAGGGGAGCAAACAGGAUUAGAUACCCUGGUAGUCCUAGCUGUAAACGAUGGAUACUAGAUGUAGGAACUGGAUUGACGGUUUCUGUAUCGUAGCUAACGCGUUAAGUAUCCCGCCUGGGGAGUACGGUCGCAAGACUAAAACUCAAAGGAAUUGACGGGACCCCGCACAAGCGGCGGAGCAUGCGGCUUAAUUCGAUGAUACCCGUAGAACCUUACCUGGACUUGACAUAUAGGGAAAAGCUAAAGAAAUUUAGUGUGCGUAAGCGCCCUAUACAGGUGGUGCAUGGCUGUCGUCAGCUCGUGU
rnacentral:rRNA from 1 species